CUGGAGGGGGCGCUGCUGGAUGACCAGCCCCAUUGGUACAAACUGCAGCUGCCCCACAGCUCCCCGUGUGCCUCACGAAGGGUACUGCAGCAGCGCCGCUCUCUGCCUCGUGCUGACCUGGACUACUGCGAUGAGGGGAUCGGAGCCAUCACAGACACCUUGUCCAGAUGUAAUGGACCGGACUACGGGUCCUCAAUGUCGGUUCCAGACCAAGUUCUGAUCCGGGCCCGGCCCCACUCUCCCCAGCCCUCCCUUCACAGUUCUCAGACCCUGUACCCCAUGAUGAGGGAGGACGCUGUUCGGCUGCUGCAGGGGCCCAGACUCAGCCGUACACAGUCUGACGCCGCGCACUACGCACCCGACAGGUAUUAACCAAUCACAGACCUCCCUACCUAUCAG
rnacentral:lncRNA from 1 species